UAAUACGGAGGGAGCAAGCGUUGUCCGGAAUUACUGGGUGUAGAGGGGGACGUAGGCGGGCAUGCAAGUCAGGUGUGAAAUCUAUCCGCUCAACGGAUAGGGGUCAUCUGAAACUGCGUGUCUUGAGCGCGGAAGAGGUGAGCGGAACUCCCAGUGUAGCGGUGAAAUGCGUAGAUAUUGGGAGGAACACCAGUGGCGAAGGCGGUUCUCUGGUCCGUUGCUGACGCUCAGGUCCGAAAGCUGGGGGAGCGAACAGGAUUAGAUACCCUGGUAGUCCCAGCCGUAAACGAUGGGCACUAGGUGUCCUCGCAUUGAGCGGGGGUGCCGAAGCUAACGCAUUAAGUGCCCCACCUGGGGAGUACGGUCGCAAGGCUG
rnacentral:rRNA from 1 species